GCGAAUUCGCCCUUUCCUACGGGGUGCAGCAGUUAGGAAUAAUCUACAAUGCGCGAAAGCGUGAUAGUUUGAGUCAGAGUGUUUCUCAUUGAGAGACUUUUGCCAAGUGUAAAAAGUUUGGCGAAUAAGGACUGGGUAAGACUAGUGCCAGCCGCCGCGGUAAUACUAGCGGUCCAAGUCGCAGCCAUUUUUAUUGGGUCUAAAACAUCCGUAGCUUGUUUUGUAAGUUUUUUGUGAAAUCCUGUUUCUUAAAGAUAGGGCGCGCAGAAAGUACUGUAAAACUAGAGACUGGGAGACGUAAGAAGUACGUUCAAAGUAGUGGUAAAAUGCUUUAAUCUUGGACGGACUAACAAUAGCGAAGGCAUCUUACGAGAACAGUUCUGACAGUAAGGGAUGAAGGCUAGGGGCGCAAAACGGAUUAGAUACCCGUGUAGUCCUAGCAGUAAACACUGCACACUAAACAUCAGUACCUCCUCGAGAGGUGUUGGUGCUGCAGGGAAGCCGAAGAGUGUGCUACCUGGGAAGUAUAGUCGCAAGGCCGAAACUUAAAGGAAUUGGCGGGGAGACACUACAACGGGUGACGCGUGCGGUUCAAUUAGAUUAUACACCGUGAACCUCACCAGGACCGAUAGCAGGAUGAAGGUCAGUCUGAAGGGCUUACCUGACACGCUGAGAGGUGGUGCAUGGCC
rnacentral:rRNA from 1 species